CCUUGAAGGGCUAAUGGACAUUGUCUGCCUGCUCUCCAGGAAAAGGCACACACCGAUUUUGUGUAUUAUCUUGGAAUCUCAAUACUCCAAAUUGUGUAGAAUACAAGCUAAGUGCCCGUAGUCUGUCUGGAAAGUCUCAGAAAGCAUUGGUUUCAUAUCGACUGGACAUCAAGCUGAAUGGAUGACAGAGCACUGGAAAUGAGUUCGUAAAGAAUAUACUUUAUUAAAGAACCAUGGAAUCGUGAAGUGAAUGGAUCCUCAGCUCUCAUCUAACCAUUUCAAGCAUUAGUAAAAAGAAUGGAUGAAUCAGACCCACUCACGUGCGAAUCUACACUGCUUCCAUAUGUGUCUUGACAGCAUGCAACUACAUGGACAAACUAUUGAAACUCGUGGGUCUGACAUGUACACCACAGGACUAUCAACUUCUAAGGGAGCUGUGGCCUACUUAAUCACAAACUUGUUUCUUGAAUGCAGGAUUUCUGAAAAACUAUUUUGGAGG